ensembl:miRNA
UAUUAGGUUGGUGCAAACGUAAUUGCAGUUUUUGCCAUUACUUUUAAAGGCAAAAGUAGCAAUUACCUUUGCACCAACCU